CCAAGGGCCAAGACAGCCCAAAGCUAUCUCUCCCAGAGCCUUCUCAAGCUGAAGGCUCAUAUUAAGCCUUUAGAACCCCAGCAGGAUUUCCACUUGCCUAAUGCCCUCUUGGACGCUAUGAAGAUUCUGGAUACAGGCUUCCCUGACUUCAAGUUGGGCUCUGUGGCCGAGAAGAGAGACGAUGCGUGUUAUUGUCGAACAGCAAUGAGAUGCAGUCUACCACCUUCUGUUGUCGUCUACACCUGCCUUCACAAGGGCAAAAGCAAGGCUGGCCUCAAGCUCCAUAUGUAGCCGGAGAUGACCUUGAGCUUCUGAUCUUCUUGCUUCUGCUGGAAUUACAAGCAUGGAUCACCACGCCCAGCUUGAGUGAGAAAUGAUGAUUGGUGUUUCAGCAGCCCUUUUGAGCCCCAAAGCUGCCUUGAGGAUGAAAGUCAGGCAUGGGGAUGGCCGAAGAAAAAGAGCAGACAGCAACCUUGUAUGUCAUCUCUUCUGCAUGAAAAAUAUACAAGACAGAUGGAAUUUCACUGUGCUACCCAGACUCAUUUUUAACUCACGGAUGGGCUCAGGUGGUCCCCCUGCUUCAUCCUUUCCAGUCCAGCGAGGACUGCAGGUGGACCUGGCUUUCUGGUCAAUUUCAAUGGGAUGCCAGACAGUGUAUAAAGCAGUGUUAUCAAAGGCAGGACCUGCCAGUCGUGUGUAGAUUUAAAAUUUACAGUGACACAGAAUUUAAACUUCAGGCCCCAUUUCCCCAAGAGAGCGCUGGGUGUUCAGCUCUAGUUCCCCAAGCCUGAGCUGCUGAGCACAAAAGGGCAGACGGCUCACAGGGCUCAUGCCAAGCUCAUUGAUUCCAUUUCCCUCCUCUCUGGGAUCUUGGCCUUUCCGGAACCUUCGGUCUUGGUAGCUCUCCAACGACUUUAAGUGGAUUUUAAAAGUUCACAUUUUACAUCAUUUUCUAGCUAUUGUUGGCAGUACGGUUGGUCUGAUGUGAUCUAGUUGGUCAUAGCUGGGAUCUGAAGUCACAUUUCUACUGCAGGCAGGUAGAGCAGAGGAAGUCCGGGGGAGUCGUCUAGGGAAAAGCAACUGGAGCUUGAAGGCAGGUCAGGGAGGGAGGGAAGACAGUAUGAAGACAUCUGGGUGAUUUAGGAAAAGAGACCUGGCUGGGUCAGCCUUGGGUGGGACAUGAGGUUUGUGUAUAUUGGGGGGAGGGUGCUCAAGACAGACUCCCAGGCCCUGGCUCUCAGCUGGCUUGGGCCAAAGGGUGGGGGCACCAUUUUAACAUUAUCUAAAGGAGUGGGGCUUGGGGAGAAGUCUUUCUGAUGGAAGUGGGUGCAGGUGCACCAAAUGCACCACGGACAGUGUCCUGGGCCAGUGGCAUUGUCUAUGCUAGCUGUGGCUUCUCAGUGGUCUAAUACGCGUGCUUCUGCUGUCGAGCAGCUGCGGUCCCCCUCCUCCCCCUCCCUCACCUUCUUUCCACCCUGUUCCUUUUCUGCUUGCUUCAGGACGAUUACGAGUGAACCUCUAGAACUCAUAAUAUCCAGUGUCUGAUCACAGAGUUUUUCUCCUCGUGGAUAAGAGUUAAUACAAAUCUAGCACAUAAACACAUCUCAUUUCUCAGAUACUUGUAGAACUGAUAGGAAAGGGCUGGAAGAGAGACAGGGAAGGUGGAACAGGGUGGCUCUUACAAGCAGCUGGUAGUAUUGUGUGUACCUAUGCUUCACUGAAGCCACGAGAAUAGCCGAUAUUUCCCUGAAAUUGUGAAACCCAAGAAAGAAAAGGAGCUUCUAGGUGUGCAUUUGUCCUAUCAUUUCUCCCAGCCUAGGUGUCAGGGUCCCUUUAGUGAUGCUGAGACAAUUCCAGGGCUCGGUAUGACCUCCUUCUAAUGUGCCGCUAUGCACGCUAAACAGAGGUUCGCUCACAUUUACUCUUCAGUUGGGGAGCAUCAGGGGCCCUGUCAGGUUUGAGUGACCCUCUCUCCUGGUGGUGGCUUGUCUAACCAAAGAGCAGGCUCUGCUCUCCACCUGGCUUAAAGGCUGCCUGGGGCAUAAACCAUCUAUCCAGGGGCAGGUGCCCUGAGCUGCAGGCCCAGAGGCACAGUCAGACUUAAGGAGUCACUGGGCCAAUGUGGCUCUUAAAGUCUACCAGAGGGUGGGAAGGGACCAGAACAUUGCCUAUAGAUCAGUUUCUGCUUUCCUGACCCAAGGCCUGACCAUGGAAGACCCUACUUACUGGCAUUUGACUUUUCUCUGGGCACAGUGAGGAGUCAGUCAGGAAGUUAAGUGACUUGAUUUAUUCUUUGGAAAUUUGGCUGUGGAUAAAAAUGGAUGGGACGGGAAGAGAUGGUGAAAACGGUUUGGAUCUGCUAUAUCAGGAAAGUUCAAGGGAACAUCGGCUCUUCUCUUCACUCAGUCGAGUUGGGGGCCAUGCAGAGGACAAAGACACAAGAGGAUGUGGGCAAGGUCGGGGCGACCUCUGGAUGCUCUCCUCUGGGUUAGACUCUCAGGUAUAACCACAGGAUUAGGGAACAAGAUAGUUCUGUUUGGGCCUGUGGUUUCAAGUGUCUGUGGAAGAUUUCAGAAGCUGUAUAGAGCCAGGCACCAGGCAGAGGUGGUACACACCUUUAAUCCCAGCCUUUAAUAAUCAGGAGGCAGAGGUAAGUGGAUCUCUGAGUUCAGGGCCAGCCUGGUCUACAGAGGGAGUUCCAGAACACCCAAGGCUACACAGAGAAACCCUGUCUUGAAAAAAUCAAAGGAAGAGGAGGAUGGAUUGACAGUUAAGGACUAAACGAGAGGUUUGGAUUUGGUCUUUGGUCAGAGUGGACUUCUCUGGUCCCCCAUGCUUCAUACUCCCUAAGGUGGGUGUGGUCUAUGUGUGGGUUGAUCCUUAGCUUUCACUUCUGUCCAUAUUUUCUCAAACUGUCUUUUAUUAGGCCUCUCCAGAAGGUCAUGCUCUGUGGCUGGCCCUGUCUGUGAUCCCCAGUCCUCCUGACAAUCCAUCCAGCUAUGCCUGUGGGGAGCUGGAGUUUGGACUGGGGUGUGCCUAUCUUUAAUUUUUAAAAAUGAUUAUUUUAUUAUUAUUAUUUAUUUUAUAAAUUAUUUGAGCAUUUCAUACAAUGUAUUUUGAUGGCAUUCAUUUCCCAUUCCUCACCCAACUUCUCCCACAUCCACUCCCACCUUCCAGGCUCCUCCCAACUUCAUGUCCACCUAUUUAUUUAUUUAUUUUCCCCAUGUCCUUUAAAAAAUCCUUUAAAGAUUUAUUAUUUUGUGUAUGAGCAUUUUGCCUGGAUGCAUGUUCAUGCACUGUGUGUGUGCCUGGGCCUGCUGAGGUCAGAAGAGGGCGUCAGGUUCCACUAGGACUACAGUUAACAGCUAACUGUGAGCCCACAUGUGGUGCCGGGAAUUGAACCCAGGUCCUCUGCAAGAGCAGCAAGUGCUUUUGAUGCCCGAGUCAUCUCUCCAGUUCCUCCUCCUUCUCCUCCUUCUUCUAUUUUUUAUUAAAUAACUCACCGAGUCCAAUUUGUGCUGACUAUCUCCUCAUGAAUGCGGAACUAUUCACAGGAAUGUGGUUAACCCACCAGGACCCACGUCCUUAAAGAAAACUGGCUCUCUCUCUCUCUCAGAAGCUAUCCAUUGCCCACAGCUCCUCAGUUAGGGUAGAGGCUCAUGACCUCCUGCUCCCUCCAUGAUAGACUGUUGACUGGCUUGAUCUUGUACAGCUCUUGUGCAGACAACCACAGCUGCUGUGAGCACAUGAGCUGCAUAAGUGCUGUGGUUCUGUCAUACACAGAAGACACACUUUGUCUCCAGGUCUCCCCAAACUCUGGCUCUUACAGUCUUUCCACCUCUUUUUUCCCCCAAUGGUCCCUGAGCCUUGAAGAGAAGUGUGUGUGUGUGUGUGUGUUGUAGUGGGUAGCCAUUCCAGCUUUGGUCUGGAAGUUCCAAUCCCCAUUGUGGCUUUGGUAACUAUCACGCCCACAAGGCGAGGCCAAGGGAGGGCCCUGAAGACCUGAGAUCGGGACGUGCUGUGCACUCUUGCUGCUGGGAGCCCGGAUGCUAGAGGUGGAUGGAAGAGAGUUCUCCAGAGAACAUCGCCGGACUACUGUUGUGUCUUUCCCAGAACCCUCAACCUACAUAUCCCUUCAUUUGUAAGUUACGCCAUUAAAUAAAUCUCCUUUUAACUACA